GGGGCUGCACUGGUUUCGACGUGGGUUCGGACGCGCAGCAGGGCAUGUCGAGGUUCUGUCACCUCGUAAAGCAACAGAAAAAAACCAACUGCAAACGACGAACGUUUCGCACUCGCCGCUUAAUCAGCGGUGAGCCUUGCAACAGCAGGCCGAUGGGCUGGGCAAGGGGGUCGCAAGACCUCCCGGCUGCAAGGAUAAUUUCAUCGGCUGGCUUUGCGUCGGGCACCUUG
rnacentral:tmRNA from 1 species